rnacentral:rRNA from 1 species
GUCUUUUUGAGAAUAAUUUAAAGUCUGUUCUGCCCCCUGAUUAAUUAAUUAAAGGGCUGCAGUAUUUUGACUGUACAAAGGUAGCAUAAUCAAUAGUCUCUUAAUUGGUGACUUGUAUGAAGGAUUUGAUGAAAUAUAAACUGUCUCUUAAUAAAUUGUAAAAUUUAAUUUUUUAGUAAAAAAGCUAAAAUAUUUUUAAAAGACGAGAAGACCCUAUAGAGUUUUAUAAUUAUAAUAAUUUUUAUUUUUUAUAAAAUUUUUAAUUAAAAUUAAAUUAAUUAUUUUAUUGGGGUGAUAGAAAAAUUAAAUAAACUUUUUUUAAAAAAUUUACAUUUAUUUAUGAUUAUAUGAUCCAUUAAUAUUGAUUAUAAGAAAAAAUUACCUUAGGGAUAACAGCGUAAUUUUUUUUUUUAGUUCAAAUAAGAAAAAAAGUUUGCGACCUCGAUGUUGGAUUAAGAUAAAAUUUAAAUGCAAAAGUUUAAAAUUUUUGAUCUGUUCGAUCAUUAAAA